rnacentral:rRNA from 1 species
AUUGAACGCUGGCGGCAUGCUUUACACAUGCAAGUCGAACGGUAACAGGUUAAGCUGACGAGUGGCGAACGGGUGAGUAAUGCAUCGGAACGUGCCCGGUCGUGGGGGAUAACGCAGCGAAAGCUGCGCUAAUACCGCAUACCAUCGGAGGAUGAAAGCGGGGGACCGAAAGGCCUGGCGCGACCGGAGUGGCCGAUGUCAGGUUAGGUAGUUGGUGGGGUAAAGGCUCACCAAGCCGACGAUCUGUAGCUGGUCUGAGAGGACGACCAGCCACACUGGGACUGAGACACGACCCAGACUCCUACGGGAGGCAGCAGUGGGGAAUUUUGGACAAUGGGCGCAAGCCUGAUCCAGCAAUGCCGCGUGCAGGAAGAAGGCCUUCGGGUUGUAAACUGCUUUUGUACGGAGCGAAAAGGCUCUCUCUAAUACAGGGGGCUCAUGACGGUACCGUAAGAAUAAGCACCGGCUAACUACGUGCCAGCCGCCGCUGUAA